GUUUGAAAACCUCUCACUCCCUGCACAGUGAAAUGACAUCACCGGACCAACUAACCGACAAUCCAAACACUGUCUGACCUAAGGUAACUGUAUACGGCUGAAUUAUACUGUCAUAUACUAAGGACAGGAAUGAGUUUUUCUAAUUUUUAUACAUAUACUUCAUUUAACACAGGCUCUAUUUCCUUUCAGAACAUGAUGGAAGGAUGAUUAUAUUAAAAACUAAUGUUAAG